rnacentral:ncRNA from 2 species
UUUUAAUCUCAGGGCGGGGCGAGAUUCCCCACCGGCGGUAACUUAAAAUAAGUCAGUCCCGAUUUAUUUUAAGGUAGCCCGCGAGCGCUCUUAUUGGUAUUUUUUAGCAACAAGAGGUCAGCAGAUCUGGUGUAACUCCAGAGCCGACGGUUAUAGUCCGGAUGAGAGAGUUUAAAA